AGGCAGGGACCGGUUCCCGAACGUUAGCCCAGCGAGAAUUAGCCGAAAUUUGGCUAAGUCCUGAGAACCCAGCUCUCGGGAACCGGUCUCUCAGACAAGGACCGGUCUCCCGGGGACCGGUCUCUCAGGCAGGGACCGGUUCCCGAACGCGAAAUCCCUUCUGCCUGGUUGUGCAGCUCUCGGGGACCGGUCUCCCCGACCUGGGACCGGUCCCUCACUGCGAAAAUGGCCCAGUGAGGGCUAUUUCAGAGAAUGGAAAGUUGAGGGGCUUAUCUACAAAAUGGCCUAUAUGAAGGCUUGGGGACCCCUCUGUCCCUCUCAUUUGCUCUCUCUCCCUUUCACACUCUUUCCCUCUCUCUCUCUAGGAAAGAAAAGAAGGAGAAGAAGAAGGAGUGGAAG
rnacentral:lncRNA from 1 species